rnacentral:tRNA from 1 species
GGGGUUGUGGCUCAGUGGUAGAGUGCUCACCUAGCACAUGAGAGGCCCUGGGUUCGAUUCUCAGUACCA